rnacentral:rRNA from 1 species
UACGUAGGUGGCAAGCGUUAUCUGGAUUUACUGGGUGUAAAGGGCGCGUAGGCGGGGAUGCAAGUCAGAUGUGAAAUCUAUGGGCUCAACCCAUAAACUGCAUUCGAAGCAGUAUUUCUUGAGUGCUGGAGAGGUAGACGGAAUCCCUUGUGUAGCGGUGAAAUGCGUAGAUAUAAGGAAGAACACCAGUGGCGAAGGCGGUCUACUGGACAGUAACUGACGCUGAGGCGCGAAAGCGUGGGGAGCAAGC